ensembl:lincRNA 4930467K11Rik RIKEN cDNA 4930467K11 gene
UCGGCGCCGCGGGGCGCGCGGUGAAGGCGGAGAGACCCCGCGGCCGCACGUGAUGGACAAGGCUUCGCGCUCCACCCCUGCGCUCUACUCCCGCGCCCGGUCUCAGCGAGUCCAAUCCAAGGCUUCGGAUGCACUACAGAGCAAAGCGAUUGGCUGCUGCCGCGAGGAGGGCAACCCAAAGAGGAAGCUUCAAAGGGUCUGAUUCAGCAGGAAGAUCCACCUUAAAUCUGGGCCAAAACUUUUGCUGGCAGCCUGAAUAGAAUAUGGAAGAAGGAAGCACUUGCUGUUUUCCCUGCUUGCUCUUGCUUUUGCUGGCAACUUCAUACCUUGGAGUCCAAAAUAAACUGAAGAACAGCUAAGACAUUCAGCUUCAAGGACUGAACAACUAAUGAAUUCUUGGACUCCACAGACAUAGACAGCCAUCGUUGGACUUGCCUGAUCUUUCUAUGUAGCUCUGGUUGGUCUGGAACUCACUACGUAGAAUAAGCUGGCCUGGAACUUGUGAAUUUUACCUCAGCUUCCCUAGGAGCUGGAAUUAUGGUCAUUUUCCACCAUGCCUGUCUGUGAUUUAUGUAAUUACCAACUACAUAAUUUAAAUUAUAUAACUAUAGCUUAUAGUUAUGUAACUAUUGUUCUAUGGUCAUAGGAUUACAAUUAUUGCUGUAAAUCUUUAUUUCAGUACAGUCACUGGCUGGUUUGUCCUUAUUAAAGUUAACAGAAAACUG